rnacentral:tmRNA from 1 species
GGGGGUGUUCCGGAUUCGAUUCCAUGUGGGAGGAUGUGACAGCAUGCCGGAGAAGAAUGGUUGGCUCCGUUAAAAAUCCAUUCAAAACAUAAAUGAAAAUAAUGUAGUAAGCUUCCGUGAGGAACUCGCUAUGGCUGCUUAAUUAAUUAGCGGCUCGUUUUGCAAUCGAUACCUGCUAGAUUGUAAAGCGUUGAUAGCAGGGAUAGUAGAAUGUUUGCAUUUCGCAUGCUACUGUAAUCAAAGAAAUGCUAGCGAAGGUUAGUUCUGCUACCUGAAAUAGCCUAAGCGAAUUUAAAAAGUAGCUAAGCAUGUAGACGGCAUAUCCAAAAAUAUGGAAGACGCGGGUUCAACUCCCGCCACCUCCAG